rnacentral:rRNA from 1 species
GAGGAAUAUUGGUCAAUGGGCGCUAGCCUGAACCAGCCAAGUAGCGUGAAGGAUGAAGGCUCUAUGGGUCGUAAACUUCUUUUAUAUAAGAAUAAAGUGCAGUAUGUAUACUGUUUUGUAUGUAUUAUAUGAAUAAGGAUCGGCUAACUCCGUGCCAGCAGCCGCGGUAAUACGGAGGAUCCGAGCGUUAUCCGGAUUUAUUGGGUUUAAAGGGAGCGUAGGUGGACUGGUAAGUCAGUUGUGAAAGUUUGCGGCUCAACCGUAAAAUUGCAGUUGAUACUGUCAGUCUUGAGUACAGUAGAGGUGGGCGGAAUUCGUGGUGUAGCGGUGAAAUGCUUAGAUAUCACGAAGAACUCCGAUUGCGAAGGCAGCUCACUGGACUGCAACUGACACUGAUGCUCGAAAGUGUGGGUAUCAAAC